AUUUCUUUUUAACACGCUUUUAUUAGUUUCACGUGUAUGUUUGUUGUUGUUUGUUGUUUGUUGUUUGUAAGUUUGUAACUCUCCAAACGCCACGCGUUAUCGCAUAUUCCGUUGUCUAGACUAGACUGUUAUACGCAUUCACCCCUCCCCACGCCUCGCUCACAAUACGACGGUACACUAUUCCUAUAAAAAUUUAUUUUUAGUUAUCGUACCCGUACACGCGUGCUUGUCAUCAAUAUUAUAUAUAUGUAAACAAAUUUUUAUUUUGACUGACCAAUAACGCCCGCGUCUAAUGCGCCUUACGUAUAUAUAUAUAUAUUCCUACCGCCGUUUAUACCUCGGGUAUAACGUUAGUCCGACCCGCCCGCCCACAAAAUACGGUUAUACCUAGUGCAUGAUACGUUUACGUACUUAAGUCGCUUUACUUAUUAUUAAUUAAUUACUUUUUAAAUACUUAUUAAUUACUAUUAAAAUUUAUUUAUUAACACGCUUUA